GAUGAACGCUCGCGGCGUGCCUAAUACAUGCAAGUCGAGCGAACAGACGAGGAGCUUGCUCCUCUGACGUUAGCGGCGGACGGGUGAGUAACACGUGGAUAACCUACCUAUAAGACUGGGAUAACUUCGGGAAACCGGAGCUAAUACCGGAUAAUAUAUUGAACCGCAUGGUUCAAUAGUGAAAGACGGUUUUGCUGUCACUUAUAGAUGGAUCCGCGCCGCAUUAGCUAGUUGGUAAGGUAACGGCUUACCAAGGCAACGAUGCGUAGCCGACCUGAGAGGGUGAUCGGCCACACUGGAACUGAGACACGGUCCAGACUCCUACGGGAGGCAGCAGUAGGGAAUCUUCCGCAAUGGGCGAAAGCCUGACGGAGCAACGCCGCGUGAGUGAUGAAGGUCUACGGAUCGUAAAACUCUGUUAUUAGGGAAGAACAAAUGUGUAAGUAACGAUGCACGUCUGGACGGUACCUAAUCAGAAAGCCACGGCUAACUACGU
rnacentral:rRNA from 1 species